rnacentral:rRNA from 1 species
GUUGAACGCUGGCGGCAUGCCUAACACAUGCAAGUCGAGCGGAUGAAGGGAGCUUGCUCCUGGAUUCAGCGGCGGACGGGUGAGUAAUGCCUAGGAAUCUGCCUGGUAGUUGGGGAUAACGUCCGGAAACGGGCGCUAAUACCGCAUACGUCCUGAGGGUGAAAGGGGGGGAUCUUCGGACCUCACGCUAUCAGAUGAGCCUAGGUCGGAUUAGCUAGUUGGUUAGGUAAAGGCCUACCAAGGCGACGAUCCGUAACUGGUCUGAGAGGAUGAUCAGUCACACUGGAACUGAGACACGGUCCAGACUCCUACGGGAGGCAGCAGUGGGGAAUAUUGGACAAUGGGCGAAAGCCUGACCCAGCCAUGCCGCGUGUGUGAAGAAGGUCUUCGGAUUGUAAAGCACUUUAAGUUGGGAGGAAGGGCAGUAAGUUAAUAUCUUGCUGUUUUGACGUUACCAACAGAAUAAGCACCGGCUAACUUCGUG